rnacentral:rRNA from 1 species
CCUACGGGAGGCAGCAGUGAGGAAUAUUGGUCAAUGGGCGCGCGCCUGAACCAGCCAAGUAGCGUGAAGGAUGACUGCCCUACGGGUUGUAAACUUCUUUUAUAAAGGAAUAAAGUGAGGCACGUGUGCCUUUUUGUAUGGACUUUAUGAAUAAGGAUCGGCUAACUCCGGUCCAGCAGCCGCGGUAAUAAGGAGGGUUCGAACGUUAUCCGGGUUUUAUGGGUUUAAAGGGAGCGGAGAUGGGUUGUUAAGUCAGUUGUGAAAGUUUGCGGCUCAACCGUAAAAUUGCAAUUGAUACUGGCAGUCUUGAGUACAGGUGAGGUAGGCGGAAUUCGUGGUGUAGCGGUGAAAUGCUUAGAUAUCACGAAGAACUCCGAUUGCGAAGGCAGCUUACUAAACUGCCACUGACAUUGAUGCUCGAAAGUGUGGGUAUCAAACAGGAUUAGAUACCCGUGUAGUC